UACAGAGGUCCCAAGCGUUGUUCGGAAUCACUGGGCGUAAAGCGCACGUAGGCGGAUUUGUAAGUCAGGGGUGAAAUCCCGGGGCUCAACCUCGGAACUGCCUUUGAUACUGCAAGUCUUGAGUCCGAUAGAGGUGGGUGGAAUUCCUAGUGUAGAGGUGAAAUUCGUAGAUAUUAGGAAGAACACCGGUGGCGAAGGCGGCCCACUGGAUCGGUACUGACGCUGAGGUGCGAAAGCGUGGGGAGCGAACAGG
rnacentral:rRNA from 1 species